UACCAGCACCCCGAGUGGUCGGGACGUUUAUUGGGCCUAAAGCAUCCGUAGCCGGUUCGACAAGUCUUCCGUUAAAUCCAACUGCUUAAACAGGUGGGCUGCGGAAGAUACUAUAGAGCUAGGAGGCGGGAGAGGCAAGCGGUACUCGAUGGGUAGGGGUAAAAUCCGUUGAUCCAUUGAAGACCACCAGUGGCGAAGGCGGCUUGCCAGAACGCGCUCGACGGUGAGGGAUGAAAGCUGGGGGAGCAAACCGG
rnacentral:rRNA from 1 species